ACAAUUGGCUUCCUAACCAAGUGAUUCAGAAAAGUAGUACAGAUUAUCUUCCGAGUCACCAGACUCUACAUGAUCAUCAACCUCUGUCAAGGAACGAAAGUGGAGCUCCCGAGAGUGUAAGUCAUCCUCAUCCCUCAUGUGUUUGGCUAGUCUUCUUAUUUCUGUCUGUAUUUCCUCUAUAUCUGGAUGCUGAUCAUCCCCAACAACAAAGACAUGGACUUUGUUCUUGAAUUCAACCCAACUACAGCCUGGCUCCUUAUUCACCCCGAGGAGCCUCAUUCUCCUUCUAACUCGUUCCAUAUCUUGCCAUUUGCCAGAGGCAGCAUAAAUACUCGACAAGAGAAUAUAAGCUGAAGAGUCUCGAGAUCCCAGCUCCAUCAACUUCUCCCCAGCGUGAGCUCCAAUCCCAAAGUUCUGGUGAUUUCUACACGCUCCCAGAAGAAUCCUCCAUAAGCAUGCCCCGUGGUUGACUGGGACAGACUCUAUCAGAUUCUUUGCUUCUUCAAGCUUGCCUGCGCGGCUGAGGAUGUCAACCAUGCAAGCGUAGUGUUCCACCAUUGGGGUCAACCCAUGAUCCUCCUGCAUUGACCUGAGGUAACCCCACCCUCUCUCCACCAAUCCCAUGUGGCUGCAUGCAGACAGGACAUUGACGAAUGUCACAUGGUCUGGCUCUAUGCCCUCUGCCAUCAUAGCAUCAAAGAGUUCUAGAGCAGUGCCGCCCUGCCCAUUAUGAGAAUAACCCGAUAUGAGGGAGUUCCAUGCCACAACAUCCCUCCUGGGCAUCCUCCUGAAGAUAUCAUAGCAAUCUCCGACAUGCCCACAUUUGGCAUAAAAUGUUAUCAGUGCACUUCCUACUGGAACUUCCAGGCCGAAGCCACAUUUAUGAAUGCGCGCCUGGACUUGCCUCCCCAAAUCCAAGGAAGGGAGAGAUGAGCAAACCCUAAGGAUGCUAACCAUG
rnacentral:lncRNA from 1 species